rnacentral:tRNA from 1 species
AAUUGAUUAAUCUAAAAAAGAUAUUUACUUUGAAAGUAAAAUAUGGUUAUUAAUAAUACCAUCAAUUU